UCAACUUUUAAUAUUUAUAUAUCGAUGACUCUUAACCGCUCAAUAUUUAAAUAAGCCACUGAAUGUUCGAAGACGACGCCAUAGUACAUAGUUACUAUAUGUAUAUUGAUAAUCAUCAUUCGAUACUUGUGAAUGAUCCAAGCUCGGCCGUUUUGGUUUAAGACACGUUUUAUUAGUAGGUACGUGAUCCGAAUAUGGUUAUUUAAUAUCACCCUAUAUUCUAAUUAUUAU